GGCAUAGUGGUUGGAUCGUUAGACUAGGACUCUAGAGACCAGGGUUCGAGUCCUGGCUCAGCCA